GAACGUAUGGCUUAGUGGUCAGAGCGCCUGCUCGGUCCAGGAGUUCCCUGCCUCGCCUGCGGGUUCGAGUCCCGCUACGUUCA
rnacentral:tRNA from 1 species